GGGGACUGUCUGAAGCCAAAAAAUCUUUUGAAACUCUUGCAGGAGUCAAAGGCUGUGGCAUAGGAACUUUUUAUCCAAGCUCAGGAGAGGUAUGGUGCUUCUUUUCUAAAAGAUACAUUAAAAGUUUGCCUGUUUUCAUUGGGUUUGUAUGUGCAUUUUAAAUAAGAAGCAGUGUUGCUAUUAGUGGCCUUGUAAACUAAAUACGUAAGUUGAUAUUUAAAAGACAGUCAGACUGCUUGCUGACAGUAAUGACUAGUUGCACACCUGGAACCGUGGCAUGCUGAAGAACUAAGCCAGCUUUUGGCUCCAGGAGCCUGCUGCACAAUGACAUUUAGUGUGCCUGACUCCAGCAGUACAGUUCAAUGAUUGACUUAUCAAAAGUUGAGAAAUGAAUUGGCAGCUGAGAGGAAACCAUUCAAUGGAUGAGUGAAGUGAGAUUAUCACAUAUGGUUCUAAAAAUAUGAAAAGGGAUAUUUUGAACAGAAACCAUUAAUUGAAUUCAGCAACUAGAGUUAACUUACUGGGUCAAAUGAAAAAAAAAUAUAAUCAGUAAAGGUACUGAACGCAUAAGGAAAAAGAUAUUUUUACAUUAAUUUGGAAAUGUUGAUUUUUAUGUUGCAUUGGGCAAAAUGUCUGUGAAAUUUCAAGUAAAAAUAUAUUGUAAAUUGUCAUUUCCUCAUGCAAGGAAUACUAAAUUCUGACCCUGAAGAUAUGGUAACCUGUAUCUUAGUCACUUUUUCCUGGUUAAUAAAGGCAAAAAAAAUGUCGACACCAUUGAGAAUAAAAAUGAAAAAAACAUUUUUGUUUGUCUGUUUAGCUCCAAGGAGGUUAAGCUGUCCUUACUUAGCUUUCCUUGCACGUGUCCCCAUGGCUGCAUCUUUUCCAUGCUAGAAGCUUGCUUCUGUUGGAGGGAUUGGGAACACGAGGUUCCUGUGCCACCAGUGAAAGUAAACACAAAGGUUCAAUUGCUUGAGUGUGUGGAAGCCCUGUUUCUGACAGUGCUUAGAGACCUCCAUGUUUGCUUGGAUGCUGCCUACUAGUAUGUCCAGAUGUUUGUAUUUACUGUGUGUUUUUCUCACUUUACAGUGAUUUUUUCUUCAGGGAAGUUCUUAGUUAGCGAGUACUUCAAGUUGCAGUAGUUUUUUGUCAAAUUUGGCUCAACAUAGCAGCAAGACAUAGCUCAAGUAUGUUGCCUUCUUCUGGAAGACAUGCUCCUUCCUAAAUUCAUCAAUCUCAGAUGAGUUUGGCUUGAUUAGUUCAGCUACUCAGUAAAGGAGUGGAAAGGGCAGCAUAUACAGCGGCAACACAGAAGGUAAUGCCUCCUAUUUUAUUAUGUUGGCCCACGAUGUCAAGAGGUAGAUGGUGGUGUGGCAGUAGAGGUUGAACCUUCCCACCAACAUUCCAUUACAUUUUAUUGUUGUGCAACAGAUGGCAGCAGAGGGGCAGUCUGACAGAAUGGCGUCUGACAUGGAAGCACAGAUGAAGCAAAGGGGUGGAAUUGAAAUUCCUCCUUGCAGAGAAAAAAUGGCACCCAUGGACAUUCACUGAUGUUUGCUGAGUGUUGGUGGAGACCAAC
rnacentral:lncRNA from 1 species